rnacentral:lncRNA from 1 species
UCCACUCAACACACCGAGGAGCGGCCCAGGCACGCGGGAGGCAAGAGCAGGCGAGCGACCCCCGCAGACCUCACGUCUGUAUUCCGCAGCCAGGACCACGGGGCACGUCACCCCUUCCCACGGAGUCUGAGGUCUUGGUGCUUUGCUGCAAACUUCCCGGUCUGCACUCGGCUUCCACGAGACGCGCCUUUCCAAGAGCCACAGGCAUCAGUUUGGCGCCUCCAAGGCCAGGACCAAGGGAGCAGGUGGCUCCAUCUCCUGUGGUUCCCGCCAGCGGCGCGCACACGGCUCCCGGGGAGCAGACCGCCCCCCAAUACCCCUGCUGUUCCCCCUGCAGGUCGCUGGCUGCAAGCUGGGGGCGGGGCGGGGGGGGCUGUUCCAGGGCCGCCUGCAGGCUCGCCUCCCUGCACCCGCAGACGGACUACCGGGCCGGUUCUCCGCCGUGGAGCGCAGGCUGGGAGCGAGGCCGGCGGCGGAAGCACGCAGGGGCCCCUCCGGGCGGGCCCGGAACCGCGGCGUCCUCCGCGCGGCCCCGGCCCCCGCACGGCCACCCGCGGGCUGCAGGCGCCUCCCGCCGCUACUGGGAGCCGCAGAGCCGCGUCGCACGGGGCACGCCGGGGGGCAGCGCGGAAGAGCGGGACCGACGAAGCGCCGCGCCGCGCCGCCCUUAGCCACCGGGGCCUCUCCAGGCGCCUCGCAGGUGGCGGCAGGACCGGGGAGGCCCCGCCAGGGGAGACCCGCGCCCGCGGCUCCUCGGCGCGAGCGCUGCUGCGGGGGAUGCGCGGGGUCACCCCGGGGCCGCGAGGGCGCAGCGGCCCCCGGACCCGCGGGGAGCGGACACCCCCCGCCCUGGAGGCGGCGGCGCUCGCGGGGCCGGUCCCUCGUGUUCCCUGGUUCAGGGCAACGCCCGGGCUCGCCGCGUCUUCCAGCUACGGGGCCCGCGAAACUUCAUCGGAGUUAAGCGGAUCUCCUCGCGGCUGUCCGGCCUCGCCGCACGUUUAA